GUUCUUGCGCCAGCGGAGAGGGUGGCGCAGGUCCAGGCCUCCGGAUCCCCGGUGCGCGGGAGCAGUUUUUCAAGUCUGGUCUGAACUGGGAAUGAACACGGGUUUUAUGCCAUAAGCUAAGCAACUGCAGUGAUGAUGAGAAAAAGACAAAGGAAGUAGCUCUGGACACAGCACUGUCAUUGAUUAACCAUGCUGGCCUUGGAACCAGCAACCGGACCUGCACCAGCUAAAUGAAGCAAUUGUAACUCUGGAGGAGAAAAUGUAUGCCGAGUGAAAACACUGUUCCAGUGUCCAGAAAGAAC
rnacentral:lncRNA from 1 species